rnacentral:lncRNA from 12 species
UAUAUGCUGACUGUGCACAGCGUUGUCUUAGCAGGGCAGCAGUCUUACAGAAGAAAUUUGAAGAGACAGCCUGUGCCUAUCCCAGAGAACGUGACUGAUCCCCCGACAUGCUAAAUUUGUGGAUCUCCUAUUUAUGGCCUCUGACUUGGUGUCAGACAACUGAUUUGGGGCUGUAGGUCCCACUGCAAGAACAAGACAGGUAAAACUAACACCCAGCUGUGUGACAUUGGAGUAAUCCUGUGUCUCCAGGACCAUGUGAUGAUGCCAAGAUCUGCAGCCAUUGACCCAA